AUGGUUUCCCCUGCCACAACCAUUGUCAUCGGCCUGCAUUCCCUUGUCAAGCGUGCAUCGGUGCUGGAUAUGCAAGCUGCAACAGUGCAUCAACGGGCAGCCAAGCAGUGGAAGACAAUGUUAACUGAAGCCACUUUUGUUGGUCAUGGAUUUACAAGAAAGCCAGUAGAGUAUGAAAAGCUUAAACUGAAAGCAAUGCAUGGUAUUGUUCAAUUCGAAGUGUACUUGACGUGUGCAGAUCUGAGGAUGAAGGGAAGAAGACAGAAUUUAGCUGAAGAGUUGAAUAAGAUCAAGUCUGCUUCAGUAAUGUUGUGGCAUGCCGCAAAACAACCACAUUUUUGCUACUGUGAUUUGGUCCAUCCUAUGCAUUUCAGUUCCUGGUGA
rnacentral:rRNA from 1 species